rnacentral:rRNA from 1 species
UACAGAGGGUGCAAGCGUUAAUCGGAAUUACUGGGCGUAAAGCGCGCGUAGGUGGUUUGUUAAGCUGGAUGUGAAAUCCCCGGGCUCAACCUGGGAACUGCAUCCAAAACUGGCAAGCUAGAGUAGGGCAGAGGGUGGUGGAAUUUCCUGUGUAGCGGUGAAAUGCGUAGAUAUAGGAAGGAACACCAGUGGCGAAGGCGACCACCUGGGCUCAUACUGACACUGAGGCGCGAAAGCGUGGGGAGCGAACAGG